GGUCAAGGAUAUACCAAUACUUAUUAUAACCAAGGAUACCAACCAUACUUGAGGGAGCAGGACGACGAUGACGACAACCGACGUUAAGACUUCAACGACUCUGCUACCGAAUAUAUUCAAAUCACGUAUUAAAUAUAUCUGUUAUAAUUCGAGAAUAAAUAAAUAAACUGCAGCUUA